AUUGAACGCUGGCGGCAGGCCUAACACAUGCAAGUCGAACGUGUGGCGGACGGGUGAGUAAUGUCUGGGAAACUGCCCGAUGGAGGGGGAUAACUACUGGAAACGGUAGCUAAUCCCGCAUACCAUCGGAUGUGCCCAGAUGGGAUUAGCUUGUAGGUGGGGUAACGGCUCACCUGGUGGACGAUCCCUAUCUGGUUUGAGAGGAUGACCGGCCACACUGGAACUGGGACACGGUCCAGGCGCCUACGAGAGGCAGCAGUGGGGAAUAUUGCACAAUGGGGGCAAGCCUGGUGCAGCCAUGCCGCGUGUAUGAAGGAGGCCGUCGGGUUGUAAAGUACUUUCAGCGAGGAGGCGUUACUCGCAGAAGAAGCACCGGCUAACUCCGUGCCAGCAGCCGCGGUAAUAC
rnacentral:rRNA from 1 species